AGGCUCUUAGUGCCAGCUUCCUGUCCCCUAGGCUGACGGAUCCUGAGCACAAGAUCUUAACUCUCAAGGUGGGGCCCUUUAACUGCUUUCCUGUGGGCCUACGCCCCUUCAACCUGGCUGGUUUGGAGUCUCUGGAAACCUUCUUUUCCCGGAUUCUUGGAUUCCAGGGAGAGAAGCUGAUGUCUUUUCUAUGAUGGGUCAGGUGGAUACGCAAGCAGAGCAGGGUGAGGCUGCGUAGUGGACAAGCUUUGUGAGAGGAGGAUGCGUUCCAGCCACAGAGAGAACAGUUAGCUGACAGCUGGAAUGGAACCCUGUGCUGUACCGAGGAAACCCCGUGCCUGCGUGGUUCCUUGAGCCACACAACCAGAAGGGUGGAGAGAUGCACCACUCGGGAGCUUAAAGAGCAUGACCCCUCUAUAAGGGUGGGCCUCUCUGCCUCAGGGGCAGAACAAAUGCCAGCCCCACAAUCUUUGUGUGGGUCAGAGAGGCCAGCAGGGGGGAUAGGAGGGAGUUGCUCAGUGCCUCCAGCCCCAGCAAAUACGCUCUGUCCCGGAAGACCCUGGAUCCUGGAAACUUCUCAGAGAUUACUGACCCAGGGCCACAGGACAUGGGCUCUAGGAUUUGAAAACGACAGGAACUUUUCCAAGCAGGGCCCAGAGCAGCUGAGACUUCCGAGGAAAGUUCCAGAACAGGACAGCGGGGUUGCGACGGGACUUAGAAGGAAAGCAGCCCUGUGAGCUGACAGGCAGUGGCUCUUGCAGAUCAGGAGCUGCUGCUUCUCCAUGUGGAUCGAGGCCACCCGAACCGUCAUCUCUUCCUAGGAUUAGGAUCUGCUUGCUUCCCAUGUAGCACCUUGUCCUAGGGCCAUGAGAGCGAAGCCUCUUACCUACCGGAGGCUCAGGCUUCCCAGAAGUCCUGCGUGGGUCUGUAAGGAUGGCGGGUAAAAUCACAGCCCCCUGGUACCAGCCUGGCUCUGGCUAACAGCUCCUCAGUGGCCCUGUUCUCACAAUGGGACCUUGCUCCUCCGCCUGGACCACCAGGCUACAAUGUGUGUAAUGCUUUCCUGCAAUACUCUAAGCAACGGGUGCAGGCUGCAUCCACCAAAGGGUCGUUGGAUGAUGCUUCCAAUAGGGAUCACAUGGUGGCCAUCAUAUAUAAAUAGGGAUGAGGUGGGAAGAGGAGGGCUCAGGCAAGUGUAGUUAUCUUUUUCUCCUUUUGUGCUGUGUGUGUGUGUGCACGCACACGCAUGUGUGUGAUAUCUAUUCAAGUAUACAUGUGUGCUGGUCUGAGUUCACUUGUGUGCGUAUACAUUUGAAGGUCAAAGGACAACCUCAGCCAUUGCAACCCAGGUGCUGUCCACCCACUUUUGUGACACAGGGUCUCCUACUUGCCUGAAUCUCACCAAAUAGGCUAGCCAGGUUGGCCAGCGAGUCCCAGGAACUAGUCUAUCCCUGUAUCCCCAGAGUUGGGAUUGCACGCGAAUGACACUAUGCCCAACCUUUUCCCCAUGGACUCUG
rnacentral:lncRNA from 1 species